rnacentral:rRNA from 1 species
UACGUAGGGCGCGAGCGUUGUCCGGAAUUAUUGGGCGUAAAGAGCUCGUAGGCGGCUGGUUGCGUCUGCUGUGAAAUCCCGGGGCUUAACCCCGGGCGUGCAGUGGAUACGGGCCGGCUGGAGGCAGGCAGGGGAGAAUGGAAUGCCCGGUGUAGCGGUGAAAUGCGCAGAUAUCGGGAGGAACACCGGUGGCGAAGGCGGUGCUCUGGGCCUGGACUGACGCUGAGGAGCGAAAGCGUGGGGAGCGAACAGG